UUUUUUUUUUUUUUUUUCUGAGACAGAGUCUCAGAGUGCAGAUCUUGGCUUACUGCAACCUCUGCCUCCUGGGCUCAGGCAACUCUUCUGCCCCAGCCUCCCGAGUAGCUGGGACUACAGGCAUGCACCAUCACGCCCAGCUAGUAGUUUAAAAGUUUUGGGCACAGUGUAAUAAACACAGUUUUUACAAAUCUGCUUUGAAAGUGUGGUGGUCAUUUCUUCGGCUUUCAUACUAUUUUCUUCAUCCAUUGCAUUUUAAAUUUCUUUGUGUCUGGUAAUAGCUCAGUUCAUCUAGUCCUGGAGUCUAGCUCCAGUCAGCCCACUUUUACUUGUUUGGUGAGGACUACAGAGUCUGCUUCCUCUUCCAUUACUGUCGUUAAGAUUUCUGUUGCCAGAUGUUCCUCCUCUCCAGUAAGGUCAGCUAUGAGCAAAGUUCAUCAAACAUGGCAAAGGAAGUUGCAGCUGAGUAAGUUCUAGUAUUCAAGUAACUUCUUUUAACUUCUGCUAAAAUAGUCUCUUUCUAGCAACUUCAGGCAACUGUACAUGUUAAAAAAGCGGCUUACAAAGCAAAUGUGCAGGCAUCCAAAAUGUUUCCAUAAUAGGCAAAUGAGAUCAUAGCAUAGAAUUCAAGCACGCUUUCCUGGAGAAAUGCAUAAAUUCCCUUUCUGAAUUAUCUGUGAAUUUUCGGCGAUAUCUUCAGUGACCUGGCUAGCGGCUUGGGUCUCUUCUCCAGGAGGUCCAGACUGAAAUCUCAAAUGGAACACAAGAGUGGCAGAGCCACAGUGGGAGCCGCAGAUCCUUUGUGAAACCAUGUGUGGGUGGUGCUGCAAACUCUGCUUUAACCCUACUCAUUACUGUAGUAUUUCUCUGCUUCACUAAAGGAGAAACGACUGCGGUAGUAAUUGAAACUGUGUGAACAGUCGAGGUUCUGAAUUCACCAAGUUCUCUUUCAUCAGGAAGGCAGAUCUCUUUCAGAGAUCUCCUGUAAUAUACCAGAGGUUCCGUGGUUUUGAACCCAGCUACCAUCUGCCCAGUGUCACCUGUCCCCUCAUUAUUAUGAUGUUUUACAGCCGCACAGUGUUCCACUAUGUAGAUGCACCAGGGUUUAUUUACCCGGACUCCUGUUGUUUCCUUGGUGCUGAACUUGCCUCCUGCUCUGCACUGCAGUUUCCCACCAUACAGUGAACCUUCGGGAAAGUCUGAUGCAUAGAUGUGGGCUUAGGGGCAGAUGGCCAUAAAGCAGAGGGCUUCCAUGAGGAAAGGCUUGGGAGAAUCCCCCUGGUUUAGCCCUCAGAGGCGCUGAGAAGGGCUUGGCACUUUCCAGAGUCUAUGGGUGGGGGCACCAGCCUUCCCACUGGGUGUUACAGGAAAAGGUAAGUCAAGGAGGCCCAAGGUCAAGAAGUCAUCCAGAUUUUAGAUGCCUGGGUUGCUCAAAUAAUGGCAACAUGUGGUGCCUAAUUAGAAAUUCAGACAAAGAUAAUAGUACAGGUAGAAUUCAAGGUCAUAGAAUGCCACAGCCGGAAGGGGCCUCAGAGACCACUGAGUACUCCUCCUCAGAGUCAUAGUAAUACAGAGUUAAAAUUUAUUGAGGCUUGCAUGCUCUGUAGCAUUCCAAGUGCUUUUUAUCUAUUAACUCAUUUAAUCCUCACACUAUUUGAAGAAACUGAGACACAAAGAAGAUACAUAGCACAGCCAGGUUCACAAAGCUGGUAUGCAAAGCGCUGGUACUAAAACCCCAGGGGCCUGUCUGGGGCCUAUGCUCUUACCCCUCACGCAUUCUGCCUCUGUACACUGCUGAGGAGACAGCCCAGGGGGAUGUCACUCAGCUCAUUGGUGGCAGAGCCAGGGCUAGAACCCAGGACCCCUUUAGGUCCUCCCUCCAACACCGCCUCAGUUUGCCUGAUGGGCUCCGAGGGGCCCCAGCGAGGAGAGGGGCAGGAGUCAGCAGGGGUGUGACUCUGGGGGUGAAGAGAAUGGUUGUGACGCCUCCGGAAGAGUGGUGGGGCAGCCUG
rnacentral:lncRNA from 1 species